ACAUCAUCUACUAAAUUGAUUUCACACCCCGCUAAUGGAUGGUGAGGCACAGUUUGAAAAACUGCAUUCUUUCAGGACACUGAAUGGUCAGAACCCAAUGUGCUUUUAUUCAUUCAUUCAACAAAUAUUUGUGGCCAUGUAUAAUGUAUCAGGUGCUGUAUUUACUGUACUUCAUGCCAGGAAAGCAACAGAGAAGAAAACAUACCCAGUCCAGUCCCUGACCUCAUGUCAUUUACAAUCUCGGCUAAUCAAGUUCACAAAUAAAUAAUUCCAAAUCAUGAUGGGAGUGAAGCCAUAGAGGAUAAGAGGGCUCGGGGUGGUGAUCAGAGGUCUCUGAGGCAAUGAUCUGGAAGCUGCCACCUACAAGAUAAAGAGUAAGCAAGAUAGAGACAGCAGGAAUGAGCUCUCCGACGGAGGGCAUGAACAGCAAGUGCAAAGGCCCUGCGACUCGAAAGAGCAUGAAAGACUGAGGAAGCGGCCAGUGUGGCUCCAACACAGUGGAGGAGUGGGGGGAUCCUACUGAGAUAGAGGCCCUGGGCUGAAUAAUUCUCAUCCUUCAAGGCCCAACUCCAGCCAAUGGCACCGACCUCCUGGACCUGCUAGGCAGAAGUGGUGGCUCCCUCUCAGCUGACCCCAGAGCACUUCCUUAGCUCCUGCUGAUCUCAGAGCACACACACCAAUCCACUCUGGCCACUCAGCAAUUUUUCUUGAUGGCCCUGGCAUGGCACCUAUGCUGGGGUCAGACCCUCAACCAGCCCUUCAGUGUUGAAAUGCACAACCUCAGCCCUCUAGCCUCAGCGGAGGAAGCAGGGCUCUUCAGUUUGGGAGAACCAUAUACAACCAGAAGAAGGGGCCAAAAUAUCUGAAGCCCCCAGGUAGCGGGGCUAAAAGAAAGGGAUAAAUGGCCUCUUCUGGUUUUUUUUCUUUGUUUGUUUUUGUUUUUACUGGAAACAACUCUAAGGGGAGACUGGUCCCAGUGAAGAUGAUCCCCUGAAAGGCUAGUAAGCAGGUCACCUUUGAAUGUCAAGGGCAAAAUCACUGUUGGUGUCCUGUUCUCCCUCCAGGAGCUGGCUCCUCCACAGCUCUCAGGAAUGACAGUAAACACAGACGGCCCUGCAUGUAUUCCGGCUGUGGCAGCCUUCCUCCUGGGCUGCACAUCAGGCUAACAAGCCCAGCCCUCAGCUUCACAGGGAUUGGAGAGCUGGUGACCCUAGUCAAGGAAGCUGGUGACCCUGGAUCAGUUGCCUCCCCUCUCUGUGCCUAAAUCCCCCACCCCACUUCUGUCAAUUAGGAGGAUGAUGCCUUCUUCAAAGUGUUGUCAUAAAGAUUAAAUCCUUAUUAAAGUCUGUUUUUGUU
ensembl:lncRNA FAM83A-AS1 FAM83A antisense RNA 1